UCUCUCGCUACUGCUUCGGCUUCCCGCCCCCCCCCGGACGGCGAGGCCGGGCCCGGCUGUGGAUGGCCAGAUAGCCCCUGUCUUCCGCCGCCCAUCUCUGGCCUCUACCAGCACGGAGCAGACGGCGGCCGCAGCAGCAGCAGGUGAGGAGGAAGAUGGCGGGACAGCUGCGGCCUGUGUGGUGGACUGUGGCACGGGGUAUACAAAACUAGGAUCUGCUGGAAAUACAGAACCACCGUUUAUUAUCCCUUCCUGUAUUGCUAUUAAGGAGUCAGCAAAAGUGGGUGAUCAAGCUCAAAGAAGGGUGAUGAAAGGUGUUGAUGACCUAGACUUCUUCAUUGGCGAUGAAGCAAUAGAAAAACCUGCAUAUGCGACAAAGUGGCCAAUCCGCCAUGGUAUAGUUGAAGAUUGGGACUUGAUGGAAACGUACAUGGAGCAGGUGAUCUUUAAAUACUUAAGGGCAGAACCUGAAGAUCAUUAUUUUCUUUUGACUGAACCUCCACUGAAUACUCCAGAAAACAGGGAAUAUACUGCUGAAAUAAUGUUUGAGUCUUUCAAUGUCCCAGGCUUGUACCUUGCUGUGCAGGCUGUUCUUGCCUUAGCUGCAUCCUGGACUUCAAGACAAGUAGGAGGACGGACAUUGACUGGUACAGUAAUAGACAGUGGAGAUGGUGUCACUCAUGUCAUUCCUGUGGCUGAAGGGUAUGUGAUUGGCAGCUGUAUUAGACACAUUCCAAUCGCAGGACGGGAUAUAACAUUUUAUUCAGCAACUGCUGAGAGACCGAGAAGUAGGAAUCCCUCCAGAACAAUCCCUGGAAACUGCUAAGGCAGUAAAGGAGCGCUAUAGUUAUGUCUGCCCAGAUUUAGUAAAAGAAUUUAACAAGUAUGACACAGAUGGGUCAAAAUGGAUUAAACAGUAUACUGGAAUCGAUGCUAUCUCAAAGAAAGAAUUGUCUAUUGAUGUUGGUUAUGAGAGAUUUUUGGGAACCUGAAAUCUUCUUUCAUCCAGAGUUUGCUAAUGCAGACUUUACACAGCCUAUCUCAGAAGUUGUAGAUGAAGUAAUUCAGAAUUGUCCUAUUGAUGUCAGACGUCCUCUGCACAAGAAUAUUGUCCUCUCUGGAGGUUCAACCAUGUUCAGGGACUUUGGACGUCGCUUGCAAAGAGAUUUGAAAAGAACUGUAGAUGCCCGGCUGAAAUUAAGUGAGGAACUAAGUGGCGGUAGAUUGAAGCCAAAACCUAUUGAUGUACAAGUCAUUACACACCACAUGCAGCGAUACGCAGUCUGGUUUGGAGGGUCAAUGCUGGCUUCCACGACUGAGUUCUACCAAGUUUGCCACACCAAAAAGGCUUAUGAAGAAACUGGACCUAGUAUUUGUCGUCACAUCCAGUGUUUGGAGUCAUGUCGUAAAAUUGACUUCAUAGUUAUUGGGGUUAGGGUGUUGGGGAAGAGAUAAUCUUUAUGAUUACCUGUUUUGUCUAGAUGUC